rnacentral:misc_RNA from 1 species
AAAGAAAAUAGAGUAAAUUAAUCAUUGAAUCAUUUGUAACAUGCACGCUGAAUUAUUAUCCUUAGUCUGCUCUAUGAUUGUGAUUGUAGAUCAUUACACCUCUUGCGAAUCUACGAAGAGUUUGAUGCACAAAUAGUGAAAGGAAUAAAGAAAAUGCACUUCAAAUUGUUGUAACUGUGCACGAAUGAGGCUCCUCUGCCAAGACUAGUCUAUUGAGCCAUUUUCUGCAGGAAUUGAUGAUGGUAAACAAAUGGAUUGAUCUGCGUUCUGAUAUUUUCGCGUCUAAACAACUCCUGGAUCCAGCUAUCUUGCAAGAAAAGAACUCAGGUAGCUUGUAUUCUACCGGCAAACUAGACCCCUUUCUGGAUGAUUGUCAUCUUAGAAUCACUGCAUUAGGCUACAAUCCUACUAAAUGAACUUGGUCUCUUCACAAGAGGGUUUUUUUUUUUUUUUUUUU